rnacentral:rRNA from 1 species
GGUUCUAUUUUGUUGGUUUCUAGGACCGUCGUAAUGAUUAAUAGGGACGGUCGGGGGCAUCAGUAUUCAGUUGUCAGAGGUGAAAUUCUUGGAUUUACUGAAGACUAACUACUGCGAAAGCAUUUGCCAAGGACGUUUUCAUUAAUCAAGAACGAAAGUUAGGGGAUCGAAGACGAUCAGAUACCGUCGUAGUCUUAACCGUAAACUAUGCCGACUAGGGAUCGGAGGGCGUUAUAAUAACCUCUCCGGCACCUUACGAGAAAUCAAAGUUUUUGGGUUCUGGGGGGAGUAUGGUUGCAAGGCUGAAACUUAAAGGAAUUGACGGAAGGGCACCACCAGGAGUGGAGCCUGCGGCUUAAUUUGACUCAACACGGGGAAACUCACCAGGUCCAGACACAAUAAGGAUUGACAGAUUGAGAG